rnacentral:misc_RNA from 1 species
CCAAACUCUUCAUUUUAACUCAAUUCGUCUUGAAGAUGGCUCUGUUGUUAACAUGUCGGUUCCGAUUGUGCUCGCCAUUGAUGAUUCUCAGAAGAAUCUAAUUGGUGGCUCGACCAGUGUUGCCCUUGUUGAUGACGAAAACAAUCCCAUUGCCAUUCUAAGCGAUAUCGAGAUCUACAAGCAUAACAAGGAAGAACGGAUAGCAAGAACUUGGGGCACCACUGCCCCAGGUCUUCCUUAUGUGGAUGAAGCUAUAACUCAUUCUGGAGACUGGCUAAUUGGUGGCGAUUUGAAAGUUAUAGAUCCAGUCAAGUACAAUGAUGGUCUUGACAGGUUCCGACUUUCACCUGCUGAACUUCGUGAUGAAUUUACAAGGCGUAAUGCAGAUGCUGUUUUUGCCUUCCAACUGAGAAAUCCGGUGCAUAAUGGCCAUGCACUAUUGAUGACUGACACACGUCGGCGACUUCUCGAGAUGGGAUACAAGAAUCCUGUCCUUUUGCUUCAUCCUCUCGGAGGUUACACAAAAGCAGAUGAUGUUCCACUUCAUUGGAGAAUGAAGCAACAUGAGAAGGUACUUGAAGAUGGGGUGCUUGAUCCAGAGACAACUGUGGUU